rnacentral:rRNA from 1 species
AGAGUUUGAUCAUGGCUCAGGAUGAACGCUGGCGGCGUGCUCAACACAUGCAAGUCGAACGGUGAAGCAGAGCUUGCUCUGUGGAUCAGUGGCGAACGGGUGAGUAACACGUGAGCAACCUGCCCCUGACUCUGGGAUAAGCGCUGGAAACGGCGUCUAAUACUGGAUAUGAGCUGCGACCGCAAGGUCAGCAGUUGGAAAGAUUUUUCGGUCUGGGAUGGGCUCACGGCCUAUCAGCUUGUUGGUGAGGUAAUGGCUCACCAAGGCGUCGACGGGUAGCCGGCCUGAGAGGGUGACCGGCCACACUGGGACUGAGACACGGCCCAGACUCCUACGGGAGGCAGCAGUGGGGAAUAUUGCACAAUGGGCGAAAGCCUGAUGCAGCAACGCCGCGUGAGGGAUGACGGCCUUCGGGUUGUAAACCUCUUUUAGCAGGGAAGAAGCGAAAGUGACGGUACCUGCAGAAAAAGCGCCGGCUAACUACGUGCCAGCAGCCGCGGUAAUACGUAGGGCGCAAGCGUUAUCCGGAAUUAUUGGGCGUAAAGAGCUCGUAGGCGGUUUGUCGCGUCUGCUGUGAAAUCCCGAGGCUCAACCUCGGGUCCGCAGUGGGUACGGGCAGACUAGAGUGCGGUAGGGGAGAUUGGAAUUCCUGGUGUAGCGGUGGAAUGCGCAGAUAUCAGGAGGAACACCGAUGGCGAAGGCAGAUCUCUGGGCCGUUACUGACGCUGAGGAGCGAAAGGGUGGGGAGCAAACAGGCUUAGAUACCCUGGUAGUCCACCCCGUAAACGUUGGGAACUAGUUGUGGGGUCCAUUCCACGGAUUCCGUGACGCAGCUAACGCAUUAAGUUCCCCGCCUGGGGAGUACGGCCGCAAGGCUAAAACUCAAAGGAAUUGACGGGGACCCGCACAAGCGGCGGAGCAUGCGGAUUAAUUCGAUGCAACGCGAAGAACCUUACCAAGGCUUGACAUAUACGAGAACGGGCCAGAAAUGGUCAACUCUUUGGACACUCGUAAACAGGUGGUGCAUGGUUGUCGUCAGCUCGUGUCGUGAGAUGUUGGGUUAAGUCCCGCAACGAGCGCAACCCUCGUUCUAUGUUGCCAGCACGUAAUGGUGGGAACUCAUGGGAUACUGCCGGGGUCAACUCGGAGGAAGGUGGGGAUGACGUCAAAUCAUCAUGCCCCUUAUGUCUUGGGCUUCACGCAUGCUACAAUGGCCGGUACAAAGGGCUGCAAUACCGCGAGGUGGAGCGAAUCCCAAAAAGCCGGUCCCAGUUCGGAUUGAGGUCUGCAACUCGACCUCAUGAAGUCGGAGUCGCUAGUAAUCGCAGAUCAGCAACGCUGCGGUGAAUACGUUCCCGGGUCUUGUACACACCGCCCGUCAAGUCAUGAAAGUCGGUAACACCUGAAGCCGGUGGCCCAACCCUUGUGGAGGGAGCCGUCGAAGGUGGGAUCGGUAAUUAGGACUAAGUCGUAACAAGGUA